rnacentral:rRNA from 1 species
GACGAACGCUGGCGGCGUGCUUAACACAUGCAAGUCGAACGGAAAGGCCCUGCUUUUGUGGGGUGCUCGAGUGGCGAACGGGUGAGUAACACGUGAGUAACCUGCCCUUGACUUUGGGAUAACUUCAGGAAACUGGGGCUAAUACCGGAUAGGAGCUCCUGCUGCAUGGUGGGGGUUGGAAAGUUUCGGCGGUUGGGGAUGGACUCGCGGCUUAUCAGCUUGUUGGUGGGGUAGUGGCUUACCAAGGCUUUGACGGGUAGCCGGCCUGGGAGGGUGGCCGGCCACAUUGGGACUGAGGUACGGCCCAGACUCCUACGGGGGGCAGCAGUGGGGAAUAUUGCACAAUGGGCGGAAGCCUGUUGCAGCAGCGCCGCGUGCGGGAUGACGGCCUUCGGGUUGUAAACCGCUUUCGCCUGUGACGAAGCGUGAGUGACGGUAAUGGGUAAAGAAGCACCGGCUAACUACGUG